AUCAACGCUGGCGGCGUGCCUAACACAUGCAAGUCGCACGAGAAAGGGACUUCGGUCCUGAGUACAGUGGCGCACGGGUGAGUAACACGUGAAUAAUCUACCUCCGAGUGGGGAAUAACUGAGAGAAAUCUUAGCUAAUACCGCAUAACACUCACGAGUCAAAGCAGCAAUGCGCUUGGAGAGGAGUUCGCGGCAGAUUAGUUAGUUGGCAGGGGUAAUGGCCUACCAAGACGAUGAUCUGUAUCCGGCCUGAGAGGGCGCACGGACACACUGGAACUGAAACACGGUCCAGACUCCUACGGGAGGCAGCAGUGGGGAAUUUUGCGCAAUGGGGGAAACCCUGACGCAGCAACGCCGCGUGGAGGAUGAAAUCCCUUGGGAUGUAAACUCC
rnacentral:rRNA from 1 species